GAUGAACGCUAGCUACAGGCUUAACACAUGCAAGUCGAGGGACCGGCGCACGGGUGAGUAACACGUAUCCAACCUGCCCUUUACUCGGGGAUAGCCUUUCGAAAGAACGAUUAAUACCCGAUAUAAAGGAUGGGGAUGCGUUCCGUUAGGUUGUUGGGGAGGUAACGGCUAACCAAGCCUUCGAUGGAUAGGGGUUCUGAGAGCAAGGUCCACCGGGUUGGAACUGAGGCCCGGUCCAAACUCCGACGGGAGGCAGCAGUGAGGAAUAUUGGUCAAUGGGCGCUAGCCUGAACCAGCCAAGUAGCGUGAAGGAUGAAUGCUUAUGGGUCGUAAACUUCCUGUAUAUAAGAAUAGGUAUUAUAUGAAUAAGGAUCGGCUAACUCCGUGCCAGCAGCCGCGGUAAUUC
rnacentral:rRNA from 1 species